rnacentral:rRNA from 1 species
AGUUUGAUCCUGGCUCAGGACGAACGCUGGCGGCGUGCCUAAUACAUGCAAGUCGAGCGGACAGAUGGGAGCUUGCUCCCUGAUGUUAGCGGCGGACGGGUGAGUAACACGUGGGUAACCUGCCUGUAAGACUGGGAUAACUCCGGGAAACCGGGGCUAAUACCGGAUGCUUGUUUGAACCGCAUGGUUCAAACAUAAAAGGUGGCUUCGGCUACCACUUACAGAUGGACCCGCGGCGCAUUAGCUAGUUGGUGAGGUAAUGGCUCACCAAGGCAACGAUGCGUAGCCGACCUGAGAGGGUGAUCGGCCACACUGGGACUGAGACACGGCCCAGACUCCUACGGGAGGCAGCAGUAGGGAAUCUUCCGCAAUGGACGAAAGUCUGACGGAGCAACGCCGCGUGAGUGAUGAAGGUUUUCGGAUCGUAAAGCUCUGUUGUUAGGGAAGAACAAGUACCGUUCGAAUAGGGCGGUACCUGACGUACCUACCAGAAAGCACGGCUAACUACGUGCCAGCAGCCGCGGUAAUACGUAGGUGGCAAGCGUUGUCCGGAAUUAUUGGGCGUAAAGGGCUCGCAGGCGGUUUCUUAAGUCUGAUGUGAAAGCCCCCGGCUCAACCGGGGAGGGUCAUUGGAAACUGGGGAACUUGAGUGCAGAAGAGGAGAGUGGAAUUCCACGUGUAGCGGUGAAAUGCGUAGAGAUGUGGAGGAACACCAGUGGCGAAGGCGACUCUCUGGUCUGUACUGACGCUGAGGAGCGAAAGCGUGGGGAGCGAACAGGAUUAGAUACCCUGGUAGUCCACGCCGUAAACGAUGAGUGCUAAGUGUUAGGGGGUUUCCGCCCCUUAGUGCUGCAGCUAACGCAUUAAGCACUCCGCCUGGGGAGUACGGUCGCAAGACUGAAACUCAAAGGAAUUGACGGGGGCCCGCACAAGCGGUGGAGCAUGUGGUUUAAUUCGAACACGCGAGACCUUACCAGGUCUUGACAUCCUCUGACAAUCCUAGAGAUAGGACGUCCCCUUCGGGGGCAGAGUGACAGGUGGUGCAUGGUUGUCGUCAGCUCGUGUCGUGAGAUGUUGGGUUAAGUCCCGCAACGAGCGCAACCCUUGAUCUUAGUUGCCAGCAUUCAGUUGGGCACUCUAAGGUGACUGCCGGUGACAAACCGGAGGAAGGUGGGGAUGACGUCAAAUCAUCAUGCCCCUUAUGACCUGGGCUACACACGUGCUACAAUGGACAGAACAAAGGGCAGCGAAACCGCGAGGUUAAGCCAAUCCCACAAAUCUGUUCUCAGUUCGGAUCGCAGUCUGCAACUCGACUGCGUGAAGCUGGAAUCGCUAGUAAUCGCGGAUCAGCAUGCCGCGGUGAAUACGUUCCCGGGCCUUGUACACACCGCCCGUCACACCACGAGAGUUUGUAACACCCGAAGUCGGUGAGGUAACCUUUUAGGAGCCAGCCGCCGAAGGUGGGACAGAUGAUUGGGGUGAAGUCGUAACAAGGUAACCA